rnacentral:rRNA from 1 species
GACGAACGCUGGCGGCGUGCUUAACACAUGCAAGUCGAACGGAAAGGCCCUGCUUUUGCGGGGUGCUCGAGUGGCGAACGGGUGAGUAACACGUGAGUAACCUGCCCUUGACUUUGGGAUAACUUCAGGAAACUGGGGCUAAUACCGGAUAGGAGCUCCUGCUGCAUGGUGGGGGUUGGAAAGUUUCGGCGGUUGGGGCUGGACUCGCGGCUUAUCAGCUUGAUGGUGGGGUAGUGGCUUACAAAGGGUUUGACGGGUAGCCGGCCUGAGAGGGUGACCGGCCACAUUGGGCCUGAGAGACGGCCCAGACUCCUACGGGAGGCAGCAGGGGGGAAUAUUGCACAAUGGGCGGAAGCCUGAUGCAGCAACGCCGCGUGCGGGAUGACGGCCUUCGGGUGAUAAACCGCUUUCGCCUGUGACGAAGCGUGAUUGACGGUAAUGGGUAAAGAAGCACCGGCUAACUACGUG